rnacentral:lncRNA from 1 species
UUUUUUUUGUUUUUGCUUUGUCUUUAAUCCUUUAAAAAUCAAUAAUGGAGUUAAAAACCAGAAGUAUAAUAAAACACAUUUUUAUACUUUUUCCAAAUAUUUACUUUUACUGGACUCGAAUUACUGUAUAUUAUCAUUUUGUUUCAACUUGAAAGGUACCUUUUAGCAUUUCUUGCAUGAUGAGUAUAGUGGUAAAAUAUCCUUCAGGUUUUGUUUAUCUGUGAAUGUCUUGAUUUCUCCUUUAUUCUUGAAGGUCUUUGUUGCCAAAUGUCGUUUUAGUUGACAGUUUUUUCUUUCAGUACUUUAAAUGUAUCAUCUCAUUACAUUUGGCCUGUAGGAUUUCUGCUGAAAAAUCCCCUAAUAAUCUUAUGGAGGCUACAUUUUACCUUUCUCUUGCUGUCUUCAAAAUCUCCUCUUUGUCCCUGACUCUGAACAGAUUAAGUACAGUGUGUCUCAGUGUCAUUCUCUUUGUAGCUGUAGCUGCUGGCCUACACCACAGUCACAGCAAGGCAGGAUCCAAGCUGGUCUGUGACCUACACCACAGCUCACAGCAAUGCUGAAUCCUUAACACACUGAGUUAGGCCAGGGAGUGAACCAACGUCCUCAAGGAUGCUAGUCAGAUUGAUUUCCUCUGAGUCAUGAUGGGAAUUCCCACUUUUCUUAACUUUUCUUUUCGUCCCUUAAACUUGAUAAUUACAAGUGACCUGUCUUCAAGUUUUCUGAUUUCUUUUUUUCUUUCAAUUUUGUUAUUGUAUUUUUUUUCAGCUUCAGAAAUAAUGUUAGGUCUUUUUAAAAAAAUUUUAAAUCUUUGUUGAUAUUUUAAUUUUGUUUAUAAAUCAUUUUCCUUUUUUUUCUACUUGUGUACCUGUGUUCUCUUUCAGAUAACUGACUUUAACUUAAAAAAUCUCUAUUUCUUUUUUUCUUUUUUAUAAUGAUUAUUUUCAUUAUAACUGGUUUACUGUGUUCUUUCAAUUUUCUACUGUACAGUAUGGUGACCCAGUUACACAUACAUGUAUACAUUCUUUUUUCUCACAUUAUCAUGCUCCAGCAUAAGUGACUAGACAUAGUUCCCAGAGCUACACAGCAUGAUCUCAUUGCUUAUCCAUUCCAAAGGCAAUAGUCUGCAUCUAUUAACCUCAAGUUCCCAAUCCAUCUUGCUCCCUCCUCCUCUCCCUUGGCAACCACAAGUCUAUUCUCCAAGUCCAUGAGUUUCUUUUCUGUGUAAAGGUUCAUUUGUUCCAUAUAUUAGAUUCCAGAUAUGUGAUAUCAUAUGGUAUUUAUCUUUCUCUUUCUGACUUAACUUCACUUAGUAUGAGAGUCUCUAGUUCCAUCCAUGUUACUGCAAAUGGCAAUAUUUUGUACUUUUAAUGGCUGGGUAGUAUUCCAUUGUGUAUAUAUACAACAUCUUCCUAAUCCAAUCAUCUGUCAGUGGACAUUUGUGUUGUUUCCAUGUCUUGGCUAUUUUGAAUAGUGCUUCAAUGAAGUGUGUAUUUCUUAAAGGUUGGUAUAUAGAGAUUUAUUUUGUUCAUUUUAAUGAGUCAUUGUCUCUGUUUGUUUCUGCCUUGUGAUUUUUUUAUUGAUAUCUGGGCAUUUGAAAAAUCAGCUUCUUCUCUCAAUCUUUUUGGAUUGGCUUCAUGCAGAUGUAGACAUUCAUUAAUUAGACAUUCAGUAAUCAUUCCAGUAUAAUGAGUCCUCUCAAACCUUUUCUGGGGAUGCAACUCCCCUAUGCCUGUGUGUAUAAAUUUUCAUUAAAUAGUUCUGAUGCUAAAAAGGCUGCUUUUAAGUCUCUUGAUUUCUCUAAACAUUUAAUUUUGAUUUACUCUCAGAAGAUUUAGAUUUCUAUUAUAUACCUCUUCCCAUAAUAUCUGCCCUCAGGCACUCCCAGGACUAUAGACAUUCUACAGCACUAAUAUAUCACGUUGCCCGCCAUUGUUUUUAGUGAUCUUCACCUGGUAUCCAAACCAUGCCACUGUUCCCACCAGUGUUCCAAAUCUGAUAGGUCAUUCCCUGAAGAAGCCCUCAGACAACAGAAUUACAAGCAAGUUCCAGUCUUUUCCUUCUUUCUGAAGGAGGUACCCAAAAUUGGGCAGUCUCUUCUCAACCACACACAUACAAUCUGCAAAAGUAGGUGUGGGGACAUGAAAAGCAAAAGGUUUCCUACUGCAUUUAAUGUGGCUUUGACUUGAAGGCUAAAUGUGAAAAAGAUAGGCUAAAUCGUUUAUUCUUCUAGGCAUGGUAAGAAUUUUAUUCAUUACCAUAUGAGGCCCUGUUUAUUUUAACAGUUAUGCCAGCAAGAUUUAAACUCAAAAUUUAGUCAUUGCAUUACCUAAAGUAUGAUUUAUAAUUCUGAACCUAAGCAUUUAUUUCACAUAUCAAAUACUUAAAAGAUAAUUGUAGUUAUAGUUUUGUUGAUAUAGACUGCAUCAUAUAUGCAACUUCUCAGAAAUUUUGUACAAAAAAUGUUUUGUGUAUUUAUGUAGUUAUACAAUCCACAUAGAAGGAACUUGUUUCCUAUACAUUUAUUCUUAUCUUUUUAUACUGUAAGCAAUUUCAUGAUUGCUAUCUCUUUGUUUUUCUUAAGCAAACAUAGGUUUUUCUCAUAUCAUUUCCAGCCAUUUUUAUGUCUAAAAUAUAACACAUAAGAAGUAUCAAGAUGGUGGAAGAGUAAGUUAUUGUGUUCAACCUCUCCCAGAAAUGCAUCAAAAAAACACAUCUACAUGUAGAAUGAUUCAUGCAGAACAUCUACUGAACACUGGCAGAAGAAAUUAAACCUCCAAAAACGGCAAGAAACCUUCCACAUAACUGGGUAGAACAAAAGAAAAAAAGAGAGAGAAAAAAGGAAUCAGGAUGGGACUAGCAUUCCUGAGAGGAAGACGUGAAAGACAAAAGGAAGCCACAACCUGGAAAGCCACCUAACCAAUGGAGAGAUCAGCUGAGAUGAAGGAACCUCAAACUCAACAAGAAAAAUGCAGCAACUGGACUGAGGAGGUCAAAGCAGAGUGAGAGCCUCACAGAUCAUCUGCAUCAUCGCCCUGGACACAACAGCAUGAGAUACUUGGGUGGGAGCUGGGCACUGAGACUCAGGCUCUGGCAGUCAGUUCUGGGGAGAGGACUAGAAUUGGCUGUGUGGAUCCAGCAUGAGGGGAAAGGGAGCAGUGUGCCGCAGGCUGGGGAGAAGAAAACCACAGCUCAGCUGAGGGUAGAUGGGAAGAGUUCUGGGCCUUCAGGAGAAGCAAGCACCAUUGUUGGGAAGGCUAGAGGAGGAGGGGUGGAGCACUAUAGGAAUCUCCCUGUGCAUACACAGGCUGUCCGAUGGCAGGGCACCUCUGGCACAAGCUAUGGGUGCUGAGAAGACACUUGCUUGGUCUAUGGGAGACUGGGUGCUUCUUGUGCAGCCUAUGGGUGGCCAGGCACCUCUUGUGUGGGCUAAGGGCAGUAGGGAGCUAAGUGCGAGUGGUGCCCCUUGUGUGAUCUACAGGUGGCAGGGACAAACCACAGCAGCCAUCUCAGAAACUAGAGGGAGGCAUGGCCCACCACCACAGGGGUCUGUGAACAGGCUCCACCUGUUGCCCCAAUAACCUCAGAGGUUGGCAAAAAAAGAGGGCACUACAAUCAACAACCACCCAUUGUUUCUCUCAUUCCCCUGGGAACACACCCACCCCACUGCUACCACUGUCAAAUGCUCUGUGAAACACCCACACAUGCUUGAUCACUGUCACUUCCCAGGACCCUGCAGCUAGGAGCAGCCUGUGCAGCACCUCCUGCAUGGGCUAAGUGGGACAGGGUGUAUCUUGUGUGCUCUAAAGGUGGUGGGGGCAAACCACCACAGUUAUCUCUGACUCCAGAGGUGGGCGUGGCCAACCACCACUAGAGGCCUGUGAAUAGGCACCACUUACAGCCCCAAUUACCUCAGAGGGCACCAUGAGGAGGGCGUUGUGAACAAACACCACCUGUUGUUGCUCUCGCUCCCCUGGGAACUCACACACACUGCCACUGCCAAGUUCUCCAGGCACUGCCUAAAUCUGCCUGAGGCUCAUUACCACUUUCCAGGGCCCUGCCACCUUCCUGCAGGCCCUUGCUGCUGUUAAAAGCCCAGCACCCAGGCACUGACUAUGAGCCUCACCCAUUGCCUCCUUCUCUCUAGAAACACACUCAGUACCCUGGGGAUAACAGUCUGCUCACACUGAAGGGAAAGACAGCAAAUAUCCAAACUCCCAUGCCAAAAAUAAAUAGUAACCCCCCAACAAAGAGCAAAGGGGUGCUCUUGCAUAGAAAUAGCCCUCCAAGACUACAGUAGUUGAUUUCCCUAAACUCACAGGAAAAGAAAAAUAUAAGUGAAAUGAAGACGCUCAGGAACCAUUCCCAUUUAAAAGAACAGGAGAACCUGAAGCAGCAAACAGUGAAACAGACCUCUGCAAUUUAACAGACACUGAGCAUGAAAAGGACACUGUGAAAAUAUUGAAGGAAUUAAGGGUGAAUAUUUAGGAAUUAAGAGAAGAAAUAAAUAGUAAGCAGAUUACUUUAGAAAGGAACUAGAAAAUAUAAGGAGGAACCAAGAAAAAUCAGAAAAUUCAUUUGCAGAGAUGCAAACUGAGCUAAAGGCAAUAAUGUGCAGAAUGAAUAAUGCAGAGGAAUGAAUUAGUGACAUGGAAGAUAGAAUAAUGGAAAUCACUCAGUCAGGACAGCGGACAGAAAACCAAAUAAAAAAACAUGAAAGGAAUAAAAGAGAUCUAUGGGAUAAUAUAAAGCAUGACAAUCUAGGGAUAAUAGGAAUUUCAGAAGGAGAAGAAAAAGAAAAGGGGUUUGAAAAUAUAUUUAAAGAAAUUAUGGCUGAAAUCUUUCCAAGUCAAAAGGAAACAGAUAUCAAGUUACAGCAAGCACAGAAGGCCCCAAACAAGCUGAACUCAAGGAUGCCCACACCAAGACAUAUUAUAAUAAAAAUGGAAAAGUAAAAGAGAGGAUUCUUAAGGCAGCAAGAGAAAUGCUAAUUGUUAUUUAUAAGGGAACCCCCAAAAGGCUAUCAGCUGAUUUCUCUCAGAAAAACUACAUGCCAGAAAAGACUGGUAAGAUAUAUUCAAAGUUCUAAACGGGGAAAAUGUGCUGCCAAUAAUACUCUACCCAGCAAAAAUAUCAUUUAAUAUAGAAAGAGGAACAAAAGCUAAAAGAGUACAAAGAUACUAAGCCCAUUCUAAAAGAAAUAAUAAAAGGACUUCUCUAAAUAAAAAAAAAAUAAAUGAGAAGAAAUAGGAUGGAGGAAAUCACAAUUGGAAAGUAAUCACUAAAGUCAGUAUACAGAUCUAAAAUGACAAAAAAACCUACUCUAAAAGUGAGGAAAAACACAAUGAACAACAAAAGGACAAACAUAAAGAUGUUAAAAAAGGACUUCAAAAUCAUAGAAUGCAGGGAAUGAAAGUAAGAAAAUCUGUACUUUUUAAAAAUAAUGUGUUUGAACUAUGACUAUCAGGCUAAAGCAAGCAUAAAUAGAAAGUGGUUAACAUACUUAAAAAACAGGGCAACCACAAAUCAAACCAAAUAUUACAUUUAGAAAAACUAAAAAGAAAAGUACUCAAGCAUAAAAUCAAUGAAAAUCAUCCAAGCAAAAAAAGAAAGGAACAAAGGAGAAACAUAGAAUCAACUGGAAAACAAGGUUUAAAAUGACAAUAAAUACAUAUUUAUCAAUAAUUACUUUAAAAGUCAAUGGACUGAAUGUUCCAAUCAAAAGACACAGAGUGCCAGAUUGGAUAAAAAGCACGAGCUUGCACUGUGCUGCCUACAAGAGACUCACCUUAGGGCAAAGGACACAUAUAAACUGAAAGUGAGGGGAUGGAAAAAAUAUUUCAAAUGAACAGAAAAGACAGGAAAGCAGGAGGUACAAUACUCAUAUCAAUCAAAAUAGACUUUACAAUGAAGUCCAUAAAGACAAAGAAGGACACAAUUUAAUGAUAAAAGGAUCCAUUCAAGAAAAGGAUAUUACAAUCAUCAAUAUGUAUGCUCUAGUAUUGGAGCACCAAGAUACAUAAAACAAAUACUAAUAGACAUAAAAGCAGAAAUUGAUGGGAAUAAAAUAAUAGUAGGAGAUUCUAACACCCCACUCACAUCAA